AUUGAACGCUGGCGGCAGGCUUAACACAUGCAAGUCGAGCGAGUGGCGGACGGGUGAGUAAUGUCUGGGACCCUGCCCGAUGGAGGGGGAUAACUACUGGAAACGGUAGCUAAUACCGCAUACCAUCAGAUGUGCCCAGAUGGGAUUAGCUAGUAGGUGGGGUAAUGGCUCACCUGGGCGACGAUCCCUAGCUGGUCUGAGAGGAUGACCAGCCACACUGGAACUGAGACACGGCCCAGACUCCUACGGUAGGAAGCAGUGGGGAAUUUUGCACAAUGGGCGAAAGCCUGAUGCAGCCAUGCCGCGUGUAUGAAGAAGGCCUUAGGGUUGUAAAGUACUUUCGGCGGGGAGGCGUUACCUGCAGAAGAAGCACCGGCUAACUCCGUGCCAGCAGCCGCGGUAAUAC
rnacentral:rRNA from 1 species